rnacentral:rRNA from 1 species
UGAAUACGAGACGCUAAGGCGUCGAAGUAGUGUAUGUCAUACUUCCAAGAAAAGCUUGCACUGUCAUAGAUAAAAAACGCCUGUACCAUAACCGACACAGGUGGGUAGGUAGAGUAUACUAAGGGGCGCGAGAUAACUCUCUCUAAGGAACUCGGCAAAAUAACUCCGUAACUUCGGGAGAAGGAGUGCCUUAUUUAUAAGGCUGCAAUAACAAGAUCCAAGCAACUGUUUAUCAAAAACACAGGUCUCCGCUAAGUCGUAAGACGAUGUAUGGGGGCUGACGCCUGCCCAGUGCCAGAAGGUUAAAGAAGUUGGUUAGCUUUUGCGAAGCUGAUGACUGAAGCCCUGGUGAACGGCGGCCGUAACGAUAACGGUCCUAAGGUAGCGAAAUUCCUUGUCGGGUAAGUUCCGACCCGCACGAAAGGCGUAAUGAUUUGGAUACUGUCUCGGAGAGGGGCUCGGUGAAAUAGACUUGUCUGUGAAGAUGCGGACUACCUGCACCAGGACAGAAAGACCCUAUGAAGCUUUACUGUAACUUGAAAUUGAAAUUGGACUUUAUUCGCGCAGCAUAGGUGGGGGGCGUUGAUUAUAAUCUCGUGGGAUUAUUGGAGCCAUCAGUGAGAUACCACUCUUGUAAUGUUAGAUUUCUAACUUUGAAUCAUUAUCUGGUCAAAGAACAGUUUCAGGGCAGUUUGACCGGGGCGGUCGCCUCCUAAACGGUAACGGAGGCGUACAAAGGUUUCCUCUGAACGGUUAGAAAUCGUAUCUAGAGUGUAAAGGCAUAAGGAAGCUUGACUGUGAGACCUACAAGUCGAGCAGGGACGAAAGUCGGUCUUAGUGAUCUGACGGUACUGAGUGGAAAGGCCGUCACUCAACGGAUAAAAGUUACUCUAAGGAUAACAGGCUGAUCUCCCCCAAGAGUUCACAUCGACGGGGAGGUUUGGCACCUUGAUGUCGGCUCAUCGCAUCCUGGGGCGGUAGUACGUCCCAAGGGUUGGGCUGUUCGCCCAUGAAAGCGGUACGCGAGCUGGGUUCAGAACGUCGUGAGACAGUUCGGUCCAUAUCCGGUGUAGGCGUUAGAAUAUUGAGAGGAGCCUUCUUUAGUACGAGAGGACCGAGAAGGACAUACCUCUGGUGUACCAGUUAUCGUGCCAACGGUAAACGCUGGGUAGCUAUGUAUGGAGUGGAUAACCGCUGAAAGCAUCUAAGUGGGAAGCCCACCUCAAGAUAAG